rnacentral:rRNA from 1 species
ACGAACGCUGGCGGCGUGGAUAAGACAUGCAAGUCGAACGAGAGAAUUGCUAGCUUGCUAAUAAUUCUCUAGUGGCGCACGGGUGAGUAACACGUGAGUAACCUGCCCCCGAGAGCGGGAUAGCCCUGGGAAACUGGGAUUAAUACCGCAUAGUAUCGAAAGAUUAAAGCAGCAAUGCGCUUGGGGAUGGGCUCGCGGCCUAUUAGUUAGUUGGUGAGGUAACGGCUCACCAAGGCGAUGACGGGUAGCCGGUCUGAGAGGAUGUCCGGCCACACUGGAACUGAGACACGGUCCAGACACCUACGGGUGGCAGCAGUCGAGAAUCAUUCACAAUGGGGGAAACCCUGAUGGUGCGACGCCGCGUGGGGGAAUGAAGGUCUUCGGAUUGUAAACCCCUGUCAUGUGGGAGCAAAUUAAAAAGAUAGUACCACAAGAGGAAGAGACGGCUAACUCUGUGCCAGCAGCCGCGGUAAUACAGAGGUCUCAAGCGUUGUUCGGAAUCACUGGGCGUAAAGCGUGCGUAGGCUGUUUCGUAAGUCGUGUGUGAAAGGCGCGGGCUCAACCCGCGGACGGCACAUGAUACUGCGAGACUAGAGUAAUGGAGGGGGAACCGGAAUUCUCGGUGUAGCAGUGAAAUGCGUAGAUAUCGAGAGGAACACUCGUGGCGAAGGCGGGUUCCUGGACAUUAACUGACGCUGAGGCACGAAGGCCAGGGGAGCGAAAGGGAUUAGAUACCCCUGUAGUCCUGGCAGUAAACGGUGCACGCUUGGUGUGCGGGGAAUCGACCCCCUGCGUGCCGGAGCUAACGCGUUAAGCGUGCCGCCUGGGGAGUACGGUCGCAAGAUUAAAACUCAAAGAAAUUGACGGGGACCCGCACAAGCGGUGGAGCAUGUGGUUUAAUUCGAAGCAACGCGAAGAACCUUACCAGGUCUUGACAUCCCGAUGCUAUUUCUAGAGAUAGAAAGUUACUUCGGUACAUCGGUGACAGGUGGUGCAUGGUUGUCGUCAGCUCGUGUCGUGAGAUGUUUGGUUAAGUCCAGCAACGAGCGCAACCCCUGUUGCCAGUUACCAGCACGUGAAGGUGGGGACUCUGGCGAGACUGCCCAGAUCAACUGGGAGGAAGGUGGGGACGACGUCAGGUCAGUAUGGCCCUUAUGCCCAGGGCUGCACACGUACUACAAUGCCCAGUACAGAGGGGGCCGAAGCCGCGAGGCGGAGGAAAUCCUGAAAACUGGGCCCAGUUCGGACUGUAGGCUGCAACCCGCCUACACGAAGCCGGAAUCGCUAGUAAUGGCGCAUCAGCUACGGCGCCGUGAAUACGUUCCCGGGUCUUGUACACACCGCCCGUCACAUCAUGGAAGCCGGUCGCACCCGAAGUAUCUGGAGCCAACCGCAAGGAGGCAGGGUCCUAAGGUGAGACUGGUAACUGGGAUG